AUACUUUUGCUUCGGCUGGCGGGUGACAUCGCCUUUGUUCAUCCGCGCUAUUUUGAAUUGCGUGUGUUUUUAGAAGGUGGUUGGACAAAGCGGAUCGUGUUCACGAAGCGAUGCUUGGCACGUAGCUGCACUGCAGUCACAAACCAAGAUGUGCCCGCCCGAUAAAGGAGUGAAGCUCUGCUGCUAGCACAGAUGUCGCCAUAGUCUCGAGGCACCGUCUGGCAAGGCGAGAGGCUCUGCUUGUAGCACAGUCGCUACCAUAGUCCCGAUGCCCUUUCUGGGCA